rnacentral:rRNA from 1 species
UACGGAGGGUGCAAGCGUUAUCCGGAUUUACUGGGUUUAAAGGGUGCGUAGGCGGGCCGGUAAGUCAGUGGUGAAAUCUGUGGGCUUAACCCACAAACUGCCAUUGAUACUAUCGGUCUUGAAUAGCGUGGAGGUGAGCGGAAUAUGUCAUGUAGCGGUGAAAUGCUUAGAUAUGACAUAGAACACCAAUUGCGAAGGCAGCUCACUGCGCGCACAUUGACGCUGAGGCACGAAAGCGUGGGGAUCAAACAGG